UUUCGACUCUCCCCAUACGGCGACACCCAUCCAGUGUUUAUGUUAAGGAGCAAAACCCCUUAACGUGUAGAAGUAACGAUAAAGCCCGGAGGCGGCUGAUGUCCGGCGCCCAGUCGUAGGGUCGGCGGAAGGGGUUUGGUGGCUGUGAGUGGGAUCGUCCCGUUUGGCAGCGUUGAUUACGGUUUGUUCACAAAAGAGAACGAUAGAGACGAUAAUGAAUCUGAUUUGUAUUUCUUAUUUGAUUGAAUAAUUCAUUAAUGAAGAUCACACAUAUUUAUAAAUAUGUGGAAACAAAUCAAAUCAUAUCCUAAUCUAUAUGGAAAAGAUAUGGUAGAUUCCUAAAAUAUCUAAACUAAAAGAGUGAGACUCGUAUCAGUUUACGCCCCGUGCUUGAGUGUAUUCUGUGGGUACAAUUGGCAUGCCAUAGGACAGCAGCGCUGCAUUAUCUGCGAUCACUCGUCUUUUGGAAAAUCGAAGCGAGGAUCGUUCUGCUCUGCAUCUGAUUCUGUUUCUGAUCUGAUCCGCGUACUCUAGUAUGUCACUAAGCACUUAAUGGGGCCAUACUUGUUUUGAUGUGUGAAAAUUUAUAUGCUUAUGAAAAGAAUCUUAUGUGAUGCUAAAAUAUAUAUUCUGAUGCAAAAAGGGUGUAUCUGACAUUGUCAGAUAUGAUUCGACAUUGUAUGAAAUUAAUUGACGUUGUUUGACAUUAGCUAUUGAUAUUUGAUGUUGUCUAAAUAUAUUUUAUUCAUAAUUAUAUUUAUAUUUCAAAAUAAUUUUUAUAAUUUAAAAAUAUAUAAUAUAUAUGUUAUAUAUAAUUAUAUUAUCAAAUUUAUUGUAUAUACCUUAAUUUACGGUAUAAACCGAAUUUCAGUAUGUUGCGGUAUACCGCUGUAUAUGAAAAUUCAUACCGUUACCUUACCGAAAUCUUUCAGUAAGGUAUCAUAUCGUACCGAAAAUUCGAGAUUUUUUCGGUACGAUAAGAAUGAUAUUUCGGUAUUUCAAUAUUUUUCCUUAUCCCUAAUCUUCACGUCCACAAGAACCCAUGCAACAACUUGAUCAAGCAAGCCAAGAGGACGCCCAGUCGGAGAUGGCAGCAGCGGAGCCAAGGAACAUGACAGCGCUAAGACCAAAGGAGGCAAGAAGCCCAGAGCUCGCGAUCAGACCAAGACGAGGGUCCAGCUGAAGAGAAACGCGUCCAAACCCACUAAGCUUAAAGACUACAUAUCUCAUUAGAUUUCUUUUUCCUUAUUUUAUUAUUUUCUUGCCAUGUUGAACUUUUUAUUUAAUUAGAUAGAUUGAGUCAAUUUUUUUUUUAGAUUUUCUUCUUUAUUCUUUUUUUAUUCUUCGAUUCGUAAGUCCGAAUUAAGCAGGGGAAUUGUAUAUAUUAUAGAAUUCUCAUAGAUCGAGUCUUAGAGAAUUAAAGGAAUAAACAUCUUUUUCUCUAAA